GAAACAUCAAUAUUGGAGAAAAUUAAACCACCAACAUAAAAAUAAAUAAAAACUUUAAGAAGAAAAGGUUUAGUCAAAUAUACAGAGGAUAACACCAGAGUAACCGAUAAACAAUUAGAGACGAGAAGUUACAAUGAUUGGGGAAGCGGCGAGGUGAGCGCGGGAGCAUGUUCAGAACGCCAAAAUCGUCGACAUUGCGAUCGGAGAUCUUUCACAAAGGAGAUAAACCUAGCUCCACAUAUAAGAACUAUAUAUAUCAAAGUAAGAUCGACAAUAAUUCUUCAUUUUUGAAGGAAAAUUCACAAUAGAGCACCAACAAAUAAAACGCAGAGAAAUAAACACGAAUGGGAUGAAGAGAAGCAUAACUAAACCAUUUAAAGCGAAAAUCGACAGUGCAAAAUCGCAGCUUCUCAUCGGCGGUAGCUCCAAAUCGCAGAGGUUUGGAUUGGUGAGCAAAUUCUCGUCAAAGAUGGAAGCUUUCUCGUUGUGGAUUUGAGAAUUCGCGGCAAGGGUUUUUUCUUUUGGAAUUGAGGAAAAAAAUUAACGAAGAGAGAGUUGGUCCAG
rnacentral:lncRNA from 1 species